ensembl:lncRNA
AAGGAAAACAAGCCUGGAACAGAGCAGAUGGCACAGAAUUUCUAUGGAUAUUUAUCACAUCAUUGAGAGAAUUCAUUGCCUUGGAAGCUAAGGAAAGAGCUGAAUAACGAAUAGCUUCGUGUUCAUCUUUAAGAAAGUCCCAGAAAGCAGUGACCUAGCAGCCAUUCAGAGACCUGCUAACCACCAGGGUCUCAGAUUCAACACUGAAGCCAUGUUUCCUCUCAAGAUCAUGUCACGCUCCCACCAGAUGUCAACCACCACACUCUGCUGAUGGCUGAAGAGCACAAUCAAGGAAGUGUUUGGACAAGUUAUGCAAUCUUAGAAAAACCUGGUCAGUAAAUAGGAAUAUUAAGCAUGGGAACUGAGGUGGAGGAAUUUCAGCACCUAUAAAGGAACAAGAUGAAGAUCCUACCCUGUAACAAGUGUGUGCAAUCCUGUAGCUUAUCAUGAUGUGACAGCUGAAUAACCUCAAUAGCUGAAUGAACUUCUUGGAAGAAUUUGCAGAAGGCAUGGACAUGGAAAUAGUCAAGACUCCUGUGACCAGUGAUCACCAGAGCUUAUGUCCAUAUAUGCUCAGUAUCUUAUAUAAGGUAACUGUUACUUUUCUAAAAAUACUGUAUAAUUUCUCUUCAUCAUGGAGUUACUCCUCAAAUUGCCACAUGACCUGAAGGGGGAAAUGGCCACAUCAGCUUCUGUGGGACAGCUUUCAUGGAUCUGAAUUUGGAUUCCUAAAUAUGAAACCUUCUCACUGGGUUGCUCGCUGUCACCUCAAACUCAUCACUGAAGCCAGGCUUCCUCUCACCAUCAUGAGAAGCUCACCAAACAGAUUCAGACAACAAGACUCUGCUGUUGGCUUGGUAAAAAUCGCAUGCUUUCUUACUUUAAAUAUUUACUUUCCUUGUUUUUUUAUAAAAUUAAAUUGAAAAUUUGUAUUUUCUCAUCUACUACUGGUUUUCUGCAAUUAUAUUUAGAUCUAACCAUGUAUUUAUAAGUCCUUGAUUUCUGUGCAUAAAUUUCCUCCUUCACAAACUUAUAAAUCAUUCUUUGCAUUAGGGAUUACUUAAGAAGCCUAGUAUCCAGUUUUCAUAUUCUCAACGUUCCCAAGGAUUCUAUUUAACACAAUGUUCAAUGGUAGUCUUGAUAGAAGUUAGUUUGGAUUUUCCUUAAAUAUGCUGAUAUCUGGAGGCAUUUAGUAUGUAUAAGUCUGGUAUUUUCAGUUCAGUUUUUGGAAUAUCAUCUGAGUAACUAAUAUUUGAGUAUUCUUUGAAUAGAUUACUGCAGAGUAUGUGCCACUAAAAGACAAAUUCUUUCUAUGGUAGCAUGCACUAAUUGCCUGUAGCUUUCUGGUCAUAGAUGGUGCCAUCCAAAAUGGCAUGUCAACAUCUGGUAAUAUUUUGCUAAUCUUCUUUAUAUAAGUGUGUUUUUGAGAUUUCAAGGUUGCAGCAUCCAUAUGCUGUGGAGAAAACACCUUGAAUUCAGAAGACACCUGUUCCUCUGGAUCUCAUACUCUGUCUGGUAUUCUUCUGAAAGGUACUCUGAGUCUUGCCUAAAUUGUUAAUUUUCAGAUUUAUCAGUUUGUGUUUGAAUUUUAACUGUGUUUUCAGUGUCUAUUCUUAUACUCACAGACAAUUUUUGCUACAAUAUCAGCAAAUAAGCUUCAUUUGGCAGUAGAAAGAAACCAUUAGAAAAUUCUACAACUGCGCAAAUGCAAAGAACAACUAACAGCUAAGUGUCCAACACCAACUGAGAAAUUUUGUUCUGUUAUGCUCAGAAAUUUAGACAGACUGUUUCACAGUUAGUAGUUUUAUAGGCAGAGUACCAAGAUAAGACCCCCAAAUAACCUGUGAUCUCUGUGAGCCCCCAUUAUUACCAUCCAAUGGAUUCGGUUGGACAUGCUCAUGUAGUGCCACUGAUGCCUCUGGUUACUACAACCCUUCCAUCCCCUGUUCUACAUCACCAAGCUCUUUCUAAUGUUUGAAGAUGCAUUCUGCCCCUGCUAUUUUAGAAAACUGGCCAAAUUUGGUUCUUUUCCAUAAUCAAUAACCACCAUAGUCAUGGGUAGUUAUUUGGCUAGAUUUGCAGUAAUAUGCAUAAAUUCUAUUCUUAUUCUUGAUCAGAGUAUAAAUCUCAACUAUUCACCAGAGAUGUCAUAAAUAUUCAGGUGUGUCUUUGUGACACAAGUCAUGCAUAUAAUAAGCACUAAGAUUUUGGAAAUGAUGACAGUUAAGAAAUUUGGGAAAAAUAAUGACUCACUUUUUACAAAGUUUCUGUCUGUUAACAAAUCACCUGAUUAAAAGAAUUCCAUAUAACGUAUUAGUUGUUCAUAGUACUGUCAGUAUUAAAAACUAGGUUUCACAGUACUGAAUUCUAAAGGAAGACACUCUUCUCUCAAUGAAAUAACUGUAUGGAUUUAAACUGAUUUGCUAUUCCAAUAACAGUGGGAUUUUACAUACAUACAUACAUACAUACAUACAUACAUACAUACAUACAUACACACACACACACACACACACAUACAUACAUACAUACAUACAUACAUACACACACACACAUACAUACAUACAUACAUACAUACAUACAUGCAUACAUACGACCUAAAUACUUAAAAUGUUCACCAGAAUCAAACCACAUUCUUCUGAUAGUCCUUCUAAAGAUAUACAAAUCUAGUGAAAAAAUAGUAUCAGAAGAAGGCAUGUGAAAAAAGCAGUGUGUCUAAAAACAGAAGAAAAUUAAUUGAAUUUAGUCAUUGAGCACAUAAUUUUUGUUAAUAGGUCACAUAUAAUAACCUUAUUUUAUCUAAAUAGAUAAGUUUCAGUUUAUUAGGUAUUUUAUUAUGUUAAUGUAUACAUCUUAAUCUUAAUUCAUCUUCAUCAUCAAAUGGCUGCAAUCUGAAAUUAUUUCAUGAGUUUUAUUUUAGCAUUGUUAGAAGAAUUUCACUGUAUCUUUACUUAUUUAUGAACAGUCUGUGUUAAGUUUAAUUCUGAAAUAUAUAUGCAUAGGACUUUUAUAUUUGUAAUUUAAAAUGUGCAUAGUUUAUGUUCAUUCCAGUGCUGUCCUUUAAUUGCUGUCCUGUACUUCUGAAACAGAGACUCACUGUGCUGCUCACCACCAUCUCAGACACAUCUCUUCCCUUCAGCAUCAUGAGAAGUUGUAUGUCAGCUAUCACCAUGAGAAGUUCCAUCUCAGAUGUCAACCUCCACACUCAACUGAUGGUAUUGUAAAACCACCUAUUUUCUGACUUUCAUGGUUCAUAUUUAAGCACCACUGUAAAUAAUUCAAUUUUCAUCUCAUGGAGGUGAUCAUAAUUAAUAUAAAGUAGUUGAUAACUCCCAUAAUAUUUAUACCACUGUUGCAAAAGUAUAUCUUCAGGACUACACAUUACUGUAUGUUGUUGGAUUUGUAGCUCUUCAUAUUGAGGCUUUUUAUUCCUCCAUUAACAAGCAGCUUAACUUACAGCACUAUCAAAUACGGUGAGUAACAUCGAAGCUUCUAUUUGGCAAGCAAGUGGAUCUCUCCCCUGUGAUGGCGCAAGUAAGUAGUAACUUCAGCAAUAGGAACUUACAAUCACAUUGUGCAGAUUUAACCACAUAUUUGAAAUGAUCUGUGAUGCUUGAGUAGGGGACUAUAGUGAUGCCCACGAGCAAAAUUUCAACCUAAUUUGAUGGUACCUGAGAUAGCCUUGAUAAAUUUCUUGGUAUAAUAUGGGUAUUUAUGGCAUUAUCUCUCCAAAUACAAUUGGACUCCAUUUCAAUUAUUUUUGUAAGUGUAUAUACAUAUAUAUUUUUUCUGUAAGCCAAUUUGAUUUAGUAGACAAGUUCAUACAUGAAUAUUAUCUUUACACUAUUUUCACAUUUCCUUCUCCUAUCUCCUGCACAUAAUAUAUCUGCUCCACCAAUAAUCAAAAUUAUUAGUACCUCUUAAUGAAUAUUAUUCUUUCUUACAUAUACAAUUGGAUAGGUCUCUAAUCUGUGCUGUGUCCAUUAUGUGCUGUGUCAUAGAUAGCCCAUCAAUGGUCUUGACACAGAAGAAGACUUAUUCUCCCUCUCCUAGCAUACAACAUUGGCAUGUAGCUUAAAGUGUGGGAUGUUGACUAAUUUUCCUGUCUGUGUUGGCAUAACAACUUGAAGUGUAAUUGCAUCAAACUUUUUUGAUGCUUUGGAAAUCUACAUGAAUCUUCCCUGUCCUUUUAGAAGAGACUUUUGUCAGUGCAGAUGUGAUCUUAUGAUCAUAUGGUGUGUCUGCCAAAUGUAGGAUAUAUUUUCUGAGUCUAUGUAUAAUGAUUUGUGUGAAUGCAAUAAUUGUGUUGUAUACAUUAUUGUCAGUUCUUGUUUGCAGUUUCAGCAGUUGUGUGAUGGUGCUGUAAAAUGUAGAAUUUUGCUGAUGGUGACAGUUAACUUGUCAGUGGGCAUAAGGAUAGAUAUUUGGAACAGAGUUAGAAAUUAUGCAAUUUCAUGAAAAUAGGAGAUGAAGUUUCUCCUUCUGGGUUCAUGAUCUCACCUGCCAUGUGUAGCAGGUUAGAAUUUCUGUAUUGGGUACAAUUUAUCUCCCUGAAAAUGAUAUAGCUCUGCAUUACUUACAAAAGAUAAAUUUGUGGUGAUACAAUUUUUAUGACUUAUUUAAGCCACUGGAGAUCAACAUAACAAAGUAGCUACACUUUUUACUAUAGAAGCUAGGCAGUGGUGCUAUAAAUCUUUAAUCCAUGGAGUUAGGAUAAAGAGGCAGACAGAUCUCUGUUAGUUCAAGGCCACACUGUCUAUAUGAAAUUUAUAUAUAACUAAAACAAACAGCUUACAUAAAGGUGAUCUCAGCACCUGGGAUCACAUGUCUUUAUUCCCAUCAUGAAGGGAGGUUGAAACAGGAGUGAUAUGGCUGGGUGGAGAAAGGAAUAUAAAGAGGAGUCAGGAUUUGAGAGCUUUUUGCCUAUGAGGAUUCAGGAAAUAGGAUUGCCUUUUCUGUAGGGUAAAAUCUUCUGGCUUGGCUUCUUUGCUUCUCUGAUCAUCAGCUUGGAGCUUGAACCCCAGUAUCUGUCUGGGUCUUUUAUCUAUCUUGUUACAUACAAUGAGAAAUUCAGGCAUGGCUUUGAGAACCAAGCCACUAAUAUGCUAAUAAAUGCUAAGUUUUGUUAAACAAUAUCAUUUGAAUAAUUAGUAUAAACAUGAAGUUUAACUGAAUCUAUUGUAGUAUGUUAACUCUAGAGUUUACCUAAACUCAACAUGGUAGAAAUGAGUAGAAAGAAAUACAAUAUGAAUGAUAUAGCAGAUUGUCUCUAAGGUUUUAAUACUGUAAGUAUCCAUUAAUAGAACCUGAUUGUUGAGCAAAGCAUUGCACCAUAUGCAAUAAGCCUGAAACAGCCAGCUCAUGCACUAGGGAUAGAUAGCAUUGAUGCAAGACUGGAAGGGGCUUGGUAUUGCCUCAACUGAAUGUACUAGGCCUUGUUGAUUCCACAUUCAAGGUCUAACACUUUUUGAGGCGUAGAUGGGUGUGUGUUGUGGGGCGGCAGGGGAGGAAUAGGAGGGGAGGGAGUGGGAACUGUGGUUGGUAUAUAAAAUGAAUAAAAAUUAAAAUAUAUAAAAUAGGAACUUAUUGUAAAGUAGAAUGUCAAAAGAUCAAUAAUUUGAUGGAAAUCUAGAAUUUUAUAUGAGGAGAAUUCCCUGUGUUCUUCUCAUUCCAUUGUAUGUAUGGGGAUGACAAAUACCAAUAGAGACACUUGUUCAUUUCUGAAGAUUUCAAUCAACUUUUCAGACAACAAAUGUUGACACUAGUGGAACAAAGAGGAGCAAAUCAGAGCUAGUGAGAAAGUAGAAUAGAUGGUUAUACAGUAUCACACUACUAUUAUCCUUGACUUAUAUUAAUUAUGUUUUUUAUUUUAUGUUUGUAGUAUGCACAAACUUUUUGUUUGCUCAGUCAACAAUAUGUUUGCUUGGAAAUAUGUGUACCUGGGGAGUGUUUCCAUAACGCAUAUAUUAAAUAUCAGGCAUACUAUUCUAAGCAUACAAACACAGGCCGUGAGGGAACAUUGUGGACAGUAAGAUAUCAGUUUUAGUGGUCACCUUGCAUAUAAUUUUUUGGGGAAAUUCCAUACCUGUGAGAAGAAUUAUGUCAAUCUGCAUUUGCUAACAUGUAUCUUCAUUGAACCAGCAUUUAACUAAUCUUAAGUACAGUUGUUUUUACUCUUGAAUUACUGUAAGCUGAGUUUACUUGUGUAACUCUUUCAUUAUAAAACCCAGGAAAAUUCUAUUACAUCCUGAAGAAUCAUUAUCAAGCUAAAAUAUGAUCAGGGUGGUUAAUAUUAUUUAAAGAGAUGAUGUAAGAAGAGAUACAAAUCUCCCCAACUCUGCUAGCCCUGAGAGGUAUUAGACAUUCUUAUAUCCUGCACAUAGGGGUGCAUUUAUUGGACUAAAUUGUUAAUAAAGAUGGCACAGUGAUAGUGGUAAUGGGAGAUAUAUUCCAGUUUAGGGAAUAGGGUCUAUGUCUUCAAACAUUAAAUAUCAAUAAAUUUAUUCCACAACGUAUUUUUUGAAUAUAAAUUGCAUUAAAGAAACAAAAUUGAAUGUCAUCUUCACACAGAUAUAUGUGCACCCUCACUCACAUACAAAAGGGAAUUGUAGAGAAUAUUCAUAUAUUUUAAGCAUGAAUUUCUAAGAAAUAAUACCUCUUUAAUUAUUUAAUUACUAUUAUUAGCAGGACAAUGAUGACAUUUGACUUUAUUUUGAGUCCUUGGGAGGCAGAGAUAUGGGGAGUUCUGAGUUCAAGGCCAGCUUGGUCAACAGAGUGCAUUCUAGGUUAUCUAGUGAGAUACGGAGAAACCUAAUCUCAUAGAAAACCCAAAAGAAUAUUGUUUUAUUAUUAUCACACUGUGAAUUUUUCUAUGCAAAUUUGGUAUAUUUGUAGCAGGGCUUUGAUGUAAGACUACAUUUUAUAAGAAUGUUUUAGGGCACCAAUAGAUUUAAAUACAUUAUAUUGUGUUAUAAUUUAAGCAAUGUGCUUGGGAAAACUGACACUGAAGAUCACUAAGACUCAGCAGUAAGUUUCACAUCACAACAAGUGUCAAAAUCAGAAAGUUCCAGACAGGAAAGGCUUCCUGGUACAUAACCAUAGUGCAGGCCCAAGCAGUCAGACACAUGAUCACCUCCAGAUACCAAGGGCUCUUUUCGUCUAUUAUAAAUUUGAGGCAGCAACUAAUUUAGUUUACAUUUUUCCUAUCAUCCACAUUCAAUUUCACUGCAUCUGAACCAAAACACAUUUAGGUGGGAGACAGAAAUGGAUCAGCAGCUCUGAUGAAGAUCCCAAAGAUUAACACAGGAUUUUCUUUCCAUUGGUGGAACUGAGAUCUCACUCCAUUUUGGUUGUUACCCCAUUCUGUAUUUGAAUAUGCACACUCUUCCAACCAGACACAAGGUGAGCUAAUAAAUUUCUCAGCAAUACAGGUCCUUACCAGUCAAAUUUUCAUUAUAUUCCAGGACUCAAUUGGUCCUGGUUAUAACCAAAGCCUGACUUUACAUUGAUCAAGAGAAGGCAGACUGCUCCUGACAUCUACAGAACAAAGAAACCAUGUAAAUUAGCAAAGGCAGGAGUUGUUUGAUUUUGACAAUUACCAGGAGGAGUCAUUUGAUCCUGUCUCCUGUGCAGGAAGCAGCAUCUUGCUUCUGAAGAUACUUAUUGUCUUUUUAGAUGUAACAUCCCUGUCUUAGUCUUGAAGUUCUACAUCAGCUGAAAGGAAAAUAGUCCACACUUCAGGUUUUAGUGUCUGAAAGAGACUAGGUGUGUUUUGUUCUUUUCUCUCCCCUAAGAGAUCCAUUGAGGAUAAUUGGUAUAGAAUUGAAAGCUCUCAUCUGUAUCACUUAGAUUGUCUGAAAUUUUUGAGCUGUAAUACAUGGAGACUGUCAAACCAAGCUAUUUGUAGACAAUGGAAUGUAGCACAGGGAAUUUAUGUUUUGGCAUCCUCUUACCAUUAAGAUCUCAGAGUUUCAAUGUUCUAAUCAUGGUCUAUUUUGUCGUUGCAUUUUCACAUGUAAUAGAUCUUCUCAGCCCAUUCUUUCUGUGAGGUCAGGUGAGGCAUGCAGCAUUUUAUGUAUUUACUUUCUUGUUUGUGGGGUUUGAAUUGUAUUCCUUAAUCACAUUGAAUGUGAUUAACACACCAGAUUUCUUUGUUAUUGGUUCUGGCGUUUUUGUAUACUUUGAUUCUGUGCAAAUUUUGUGUCUGCAACCUCAGACUCUGAGUUACUAAGUCUGAUAGUAAAGUUGAGUCUGGAUAACAUUAUCACUAUGGAUUCAUCUACCAUCUCUGAAUCUGUGAGCUUCUUUCUUCCUCCCAUAUAUAUAUAUAUAUAUAUAUAUAUAUAUAUAUAUAUAUAUAUAUAUAUGUCACUCAAUUUCUUGAAAGAUACAAUAUGAGCAUCACUGUGUUAUUUCUCCCCUAGUGCAAGAAGAAAUAUCCCCGAUUACGGUCAAGUGAUGCACAGAUAUCACUUGAUAUGUAAUUAGGUAAUUAUUACUCACUUUAUUUCUAUAUCCCUGUACUGAAUGAGAGAAAUAGGUUUUUUUCCAUAAAGUUGUGACUUUUCAUAGUUUCUUUGCCAUCGUAGCAAUGUGGGAUGUGUCUUCCUUCUCAUGGAGUUAAUCAUAAGUUUAAAAAGUUGAUUAUUCCUAUGAUAUACAUGCGACUAUGGAAACAAUCUGAAGUUCUCUUACUAUGUUAUGUUUUAAGAUUUGUAACUCAUGGGAAUUAUGAAUUCUGUUCCUCCUCCAGUAACAUGCAGUUUAGCUUUCUGUCCCAUCAAAUGGAGUCAGUUUUAGUGAAACUUCUAGUAAUGCUCCAGAAGGAUUUCUAUUAUAUGAUGAGAUAAGUAAGCAGGAACUACAUAAAUAAGUACUCACCAUCAUAUUGGGAGAUUUAACAAUUGUCUACGAAGCUUGAGUGGGGACUAUAGGAAAGUUCUUGUCCAACAACUAAAACAAAUAAGUCAUUAUUGUAACCUGAGACAUCUCUGAUACCACUUCAUGGUAUAAAUGCUUGGUUGUAGCAAUAUGUUUACAAAUACACAUUUCUAUUCUAUUUCAGUUCUUUACAUAUACAUAAUAUUGUGUAUAUAUUUGUAAAAUUUUUGACUCAGUUGAGAAUUUCAUAAACCACUUUAUUUAUAUUACUUCUCAUUUCUUCUUCUUUUUACACCUAUCAUAUCAUUUCUACUAAAUAUGAAAAUGAAUACCACUUAUUAUUAAAUGCUCUUCUUUAUUUUUUUAUAAAUGAAUACAAAAUAAAUGCACAAUAUGUAUGUUAUAUGGUGGUAAUAUGUACUCAAUUUUAGCAUUUACAUCUUGGAAUUUAAAGGCCUAUCAAUAUUAUUGGAGCUGGGUUCUGUCUCUCAGAAUCAGGCAUUUUUCUGUAGAUUUUCAGCUAAGUGUCGGAAGUUUAGAUAGUUUCCUACAUUUGUUGACAUGAUUUGUGGUGUAACUGUGCUAAUCCUUUUUUUUUGUUUUUGGUCUUAAUGUUUUUGAAAAUUUGUGUUUGAAGACACUUUUUUUUUUGUCACAACACAAAUCCUAAUCUCAAGAAUCUUAUGCAGUGUCUUCCCAUUGUUUGCAAUAUUUUUUCAGCCAAGAAUGAUAAUGGGUUGUAUGCAUUCAACAAUUGGGGUUGGACAUAAGAGAGUCUUCAGAACAGUUUUUGAAGUUUUGGAAUUUUGUAAUGGUGCAACAACAUGAUUGUUUUUAGGGCAUGUACAGGUAUAUUUAUCUUUGGUAAUAAAGAUCAACAGUUAGAUAAUAGUCAUUAUAUGAUUUCAGGAAAAGCCAGUGAUGUUCCUCAUCUGGGUUCAUGGUCUCCCAUGCUAUGUGCUUUGGACUAUGCUUAUUAUAUUGGGCAUAAUUUGUCUUCCUGUCAAUGAUGCUAUUUUGCAUUACCCAGCAAAAGGAGAGUGAAAUAUAUUAGACAUGUCUAUGGAAACCAAGCCAUUAAUAAUCUACUAAUGGUUAAAUAUUGGUAAAUUAUAAAAUUAGAAAAUGUUGGUAAAAUCAUGAAUUUUACCUUGAUAAUUUAUAGUAUUGUUAGCAAUUUUUUGGCAUUAACACACAAUGUUGGUUAUGCAUAGAAAUAAUAUCAAUACUAGUGGAUUAGAGACCUGCCUCAAAGAAUGUAAUAUUGUACAAAAUUCGGAAAAGGGAUAUUAUUGUAAGAUAAGAUGAAUAUAGAUGAAUAAUUUUAUUUAAUUCUGAUAUUUUAUAUAUGGUAGUGGACUAAUGUUGCUCUAAUUCCAUAUAUGUGUUGAACACAGAUGAACAUUAGAGACACUUGUUAGGUCCCUGGGUUUUAAUUCAGUAGUCAUUCAUCAAAUGAUGAAAUUGGUGGAACAAAGGGAAGAGAUUCAGAUAAAGGAGAGUAAUAAAAGAUUCGGUCACACAAAUCAACAUCAGAAUUUUUUUUUGAGUAAUACUCAUUAUUUUGUUUUCCUGUUAUGUUUUUGAUAUGCACAUCCAGUAGAUGGCUUUAUUUGCAAGCUGAUUUCUUAGAAAUAUUAUAAUCUGAAAUUUGUUUAUAAAAUAAACAUAGCAAAAACUAAGCUUAUUCCUGUUAGUAUGAAAGCCCAGGAUAAAAGAAAUGGGCAUUAAGGACUUUGAAUUUCACUGGCCACCUGGCAUACCAUUUUUGGCAAAAUCCAUACCUGUAAGAAACACUAUGUCAAUCAACCAUUGAUACUGUAACUCUGCAUACACCUAUUCUUUGAUGGGCAUUUAAUCAGAAUUGUAUUCUUAAAUUCCCAUCAGCUGAUUUUGCAUGCAUAAUUAUUUACAUGCAUAAUUAUUUCCCUAUAAAACCCAGCAAUCAUUCUAUUAUAUUCUGAGGAGGAAUUAUGAAAAAUGGCUUAUAUUAUUUAAUGAAAUGAUGAAUGGAUAAAGACAGAUUUUUCUCAGUAAUGCUAUCCGAGAGAGGCUAUUCCAUGUUUUAGAAGAUGUACCAACCCUCAUCCCCCACACAAGUACUAUUGAUCUCAAAUGCCACUAAAACAGAGUAAGUAAUUGAAGUACAAAUUGAAUAGUGAUGAUGCAGAUUGGAGAGGAAAUCUAGUGUAGGAAGGAAAUGCGGUGCAGUUUUUUUUUUAAAUUUCAAUGUCCAUAUGUUAAUGCUAAAAUAUUUCAAGAGUAUUAAUUAGUACUGUGAACCAAAAUGAAUGCCACAUGCACAAAAACAUGCAUAAAAUAAUAAUUCCAACAUUAUAUAUAUAUAUAUAUAUAUAUAUAUAUACAUAUACAUAUAUUGAAUUCAUCUUUCAAAAACAAAUACCUCAGAUUUUUUGGUAAUUAUCAUGCCACUGGGAGAUGUGGAAUGCAGAUUGAGUAUCUUCAGAGAAGUUCUUGGAAGUAACAUUUCUAUUUAUAAUACAAGAAUCUUAUUUCAGACAUAUAUAUAUAUAUAUGUAUAUACAUAUAUAUAUCUUUGAUGUAAGUAAUUUUGUUUGUUUGUGUGUUUGUUUGUUUGUUUGUUUUUAUUUUUCAAGACAUUCAAGACAGGGUUUCUCUGUAUUGCUUUGGAGCCUUCCUGGAACUUGAUUGCUCUAUAAACCACUGGCAUUGAACUCUCAGAGAUCUGCCUGCCUAUGCCUAUGGAGUGCUGGGAUUAAAGGAAUGCACCACCAAUGGGCAGUCUUAUAGUAAGCAAUUUUAAAGGCAUGUGCCACCAAGACAAGCUACUCUAUUUCUUCUUCUUCUUUUAAGCACUUUAUCCUGUUUCUUUUUCUCUCAAAAGCCUACGUGUAUUUUUUAACACACUGUUAACCUUUAGAGUUUUUUCUUCAUCUGAAUCUGUCUUUACUGUAAGUCUUUACAUUUUCUGGCCAAGUGGUCUUUUAUCUGCUAACAACAUUGCUAAAAUUAAAGUGGCAGCUGUUUAAGCUACUGACUUUCCAAGAUGGCAGGGUUACAUUUACUGCCAGCACUGAGUGCUGUGCUUACUGCCUUGGUCUAUGUUGCCAUCAAGCAUCAUGCUGCCUGCUUGAAGAUGUUGUCUCUGCCAUCAGAAGCUCAUACAUACCCUUAAAUUGUUAGCAGAACCUCUUCAAAGAGCCCUGCAGUUUUUCCCACUUAUGCUGAGUCAGGAAACCUCUAUUAAGGGAGCCACUGGAGUCUCUGCUUGUCUCUAGCAAAACAGAGACCAACCAAGAAAAUUCUGCUACCAAGAAGUCAUGCUUGUCUCUGUUCUUUUGCUUCUAAAAUCCCAUUUUAAGCUUUUGUCGAGUUUUAAGUUGAAAUAGGUGCCUCACUUUGAGGUUUCCAUUUGUAGUGAUAACUCAUUCUGCCAGUUGCCCAAGUUCCACCAGCACAUUAGGACCCCCAAAUAGAACAGAGUGAUUACUGUUAGUUACAAUGCUGCUGGCCAAUGACUAGUAUUUCUUAUUUGUUAACUCUGUCUUAUGUAUAAACCAUAACCAUUAAUCUACAUGUUUUAUAAUGACUUAUCUUAUCGAGGAUGCCAAUUGCAGGUAUCCUCUCUUGCCGGAAUCAUAUGGUGACCCUCAUCUUUAUUACAUUCCCCAGAAUCCUCCUUUUCUCCUAGUCUUGCCUAUCUUGCUUCCCUAUUGGCAGUGUUUAAUUCAUUAAAGAAUAAGAGAGACAUACACAGAAAAAUUUCCCGCAACAACUGUAGGUCUAGAAAUAGAAAGCUUAAUUGAACACAUGAAUCUCUAGUCUCUCUGCAAAAACAUAUUAGUCAAUCCAAGGGAAAACUUCAGUUUCUCUGUCAGAAGGAUAGUUUAUAGAUUUCAUAGUCUUGUGAGUUCAAUUCUAAGUUUUCUAAAACAAGGAUGUUCAAGUGCAUUUGGACUUACUCAUAGCCAAGUUCUAGAAAGCUCCUGCUAAUAACAACAAGACUAACAAAAGUUUCAGCCUACUUCAGUAUUGUAAUAUGAGGGCCUCCCUGGGUCUUAAUGCUCCCUACUCUUUCUAAAAAUAUCCAAUUAACUUAUAAUGUUUAAUUCAGUAUAUGAUGUAAUAUGUUCUGGUCUUCAUGCCUCCCUUGUUUUCUGGGCCAUCAUACACUGACUUGAGCAUUUGCAUAUUUAUUUCAUUUUCAAGGUGCUAUGACACAUACCAAUUCAGCAUCUCACUAUCUAAGUAAAGUAUGAAUUUGUAGAACCUUCCCAUGUUUCCAAACAUGAAAUGUUUCUCCAGAGAGUAGGAGGGGAUAAAGAUUUCUACAAUAACUUUACACAAAAUUUUUCCAUCUAAUGAAUUCAAUCAUACUAUUUAUAAUAGGUUAUUACUCCCAUGACAUGUAGGCAAAUAUGGCAAAAAUAUUUCUGAAGAUUCAUAACUAUAUUCUGUUUUAGAGCAUGUAGCUCAUGUGUUUAAGGAGUUUUCUUCCCCAUCCAGUAGUCACAGAUUAUAUUGCUUCAGAGAAGUUGAAAUGAAGUGUUUGAUUCUGUGUCAAUGAUCUCUCUAGCCAUUUACAUUAUGCCGGGUUAUAAUAUUGAGCAUAAUUUAUCUUCCUAUCAAUGACAUGAGUCUCUAUUAUUCACUUCACAAAAUAAAGUGAAAAACCCAUAUAUAUAUAUAUAUAUAUAUAUAUAUAUAUAUAUAUAUAUAUGACUCUCAGAAGUUACUAGUGAAGAAAUUGUUUACAUUACAUUAUUUUUAAAAUGAAGAAAGAUAGAACAUUUUUUUUGAUUCAGAGAUUUUAUAUGUAGGAGAUUAAUCAGCCUUGCUCAUGUUCCAUAUAGGUGGGAUUAGAAAAUAACAGCUGAAACACUUGAUUGACAUAAUAUUUUAUUCCAGGAGUCAGAAAACAAAUGUUGAAAGUAGAGGAAUGCAAAGGAAAUAAUUAGCAUUAGGAAAGUAGUACAACAGUUGGUUAUAUUAGGAACAUCUGUAUGGUCUCUGGUUAAUAUCUUGCAUAUUACCUUUUACUUUUUUGUUUAUAAUAUGCACAGCCUGGUAGAUGGCCUGUCAACAACCACAUUGAUUGGAGGUAGGAGUACAAUAACUAUUUCUAGAAUAAUACAUAUUAAAAGUGAGGCAUACUAUAUUAACAUGCAUUUCCAGGACAUGGGGCAUAGGUAGUGGCAACAAGAUCCCCGUGUUUUAAUGGCCAGCUUGCAUAGCCUGCUUGGCAAAUCCCAUGCAAUUCUAUAAAAAUAACUACUGAUUUUAUUGUUGAUACACAAAUAUCUCCAUAAGAAACCCACACUAUUUUCAGAUUGUGGAGAUUACAUGGAAACUGAUUAACAUAGAAAUUUUGGAACUGAACGACUUAUAGAAUUUAUGCUUCAGUAGAUAUGGAUCAUUCAUUCUUAGUAUCUCAUGUUUCCUUGGCUUUUCUUCAAAGUGUGAGAAUUGGGAGAGUUUCAUAUCUAAUUUGACAUUAUGUUUUGUGAUGUCAUUGUGCUAACCUUUUUGAUUGUAUCUUUGCUUUCAUAUUCUGUAGACUGAUAAGAUUUGAAGAGUACCUAUACAUUUGAAAUAUGUAUCUGUAUACCAAGAAAAAUUAACUAAAGUAACUAUAUGUUUUGACAAAUAUAAGUGACUAUAAAAAAUCACUACCUAAUUUUAUAUUACAUUUUCAAAAUGUAUAUAAACAUGAUUCCGAAAGAAGAGUAGAAAUAUACGUAUGACAAAAUUUACCAUGAAUAUGUAUAAAUAAACCAAAAUAUUUAUUUCUCUAUCAUGUUCCCUUUUUCUUAAAAAGAGAUUGACUGUGCUUAUUAACCAUUUAUAACCCACCCCAUUUCAUUUAAACCAACAACUAAUAAACAAUAUUUGGGAAGUGGACAUAGUUUUCCCCAAACUCUUUCUGAUGAUUUAGAGUGAUAAAUGCAAAAGAGAUCCUGAUGAAAACCCACAACCAAUUCCAAAUAUAGGCUGUAGUAGUCUGAUGCUGCAUCAUCUCAGCUGUUUUGCAUGUUGAAUCACAUGGCCCACUUCUUAUGGGGGUCUUGAUUCAGAGAGCCAUUUUAGUCUAGAAGGAAUCUACAUCUUUACAUAUUCUGUGGAAACAAAAGCAGAACAUCUACUCCAAAGUAACUGGUCUUGUGAGUUAAAUUUUUAAGUCAAGUCAUUUUAAAAUCCAUAAGUUAGAGUAAACCAACAGCAUUUAUCAACAAGUGUUUUAGUGCUAUUACUCCUUCAACAGUCCAACAAUUUAAAGACAACACAAGAACAAACAGUAUUCAGACUCUCUGUGUUUUCCAUGUUUAUGUGGCUCUUUAUAUUACACUAUUUCUUUUAUUUUUUUCAAAGACAGGGUUUUUAUGUAAUUUUGGCCAUUUUUGAACUCACUCUUUAUAUGAGGCAGGCUGGCUUUGAAUUCACAGAAAUAGCCCUGCCUCUGCCUGCCAAGCCAUGGGAUUAAAGGGUUGUUAAACUAUGCCCAGCUACUGUAUAUUUUUUUAAGGACUUAACUAUCAUUUUCCUUUUCUCUCCCAAGUUUUCAUAUAUUUUUCCUUAUCUUUUUUAUUUGAAUUAGAAACAAGAUUGUUUUACAUGUCACUCCCAGUUCCCACUCCCUCCACUCCUCACCUAUCACCAAUCCUCAACUAAAACCCUACCUAUCACAUAUACUUUCUGCUGUCCAGGGAGGGUGAUACCUUUCAUAGGGUUCAUCAGAGUCUAUCAUAUACUCUGCGAUAGGAUCUAGGCACUUCCCGUGUGUAUUGGCUCAGGGAGUAUACCUCUAUGUGGAUUGGGCUCCCAAAGUCCACACCUAUGCUAGGGAUAAGUACUGAACUACUACAGGAGGUCCCAUAGAUUUUUGAGGUCUCCUCAUUGAAACCCACGUUCUUGGGGUCUGGUUCAGUCCCAUGCUGGUAUCACAGCUAUCAGUCUGGGGACCAAGAGCUCACCGUUGUUCAGGUCAGAACUUUCUGUGGGUUUCACCAGUCUGGUUUGGACCCCAUUGCUCAUCACUCAUUCUUCUCUGCAACUGGAUUUCAGUUCAGUUCAUUGAUUUGCUGUGGGUGCUGGCUUCUAUUUCCUACAGCUGCUAGAUGAAGGCUAUGGGAAGGCAUAUAAGUCAGUCAUCAAUCUCAUUAUCAGAGGAGGGCAUUUAAGGUAGCCUCUCCUCUGUUGCUUAGAUUGUUAGUUGCUGCCAUCUUUGCAGAUCUCUAGACCAAUCCCUAGUGUCUGAUUUCUCUGUAAAGCUAAAAUUUCUACCUCUAUUAUGGUAUUUUGUUUUCUUCUAUUGUUUCCCCAACUCAACCUUUCUGCUCCCUCGUGUCCUCCUCAAUCAUCGUCUUAUCCCCUUCUCAUUCUGCUAGCCAACUCCUCCUCCUUCCGUCCUCCCAAUUUGGUCAGGAGUUCUUGCUCCUUUCCCCUUCUCCAGGGGACCAUGCAUGUCUCUCUUAAGGUCCUCCUUGUUUACUAGCUUCUCUGGCAGUGUGGAUUGCAGACUGGUAAUCCUUUGCUCUAUGUCUAAAAUCCGCAUGUGAGUGAAUACAUACAACGUUUUUCUUUUUGUGAUUGUGUUACCUCGCUCAGAAUCGUUUCUUCUAGUUUCAUCCAUUUUCCUGCAAAUUUCAAGAUUCCAUUUUUUUCUGCUGAGUAGUACUCCACUGUGCUUUCAUAUAUUUUUAAUCACACAGUAAAUCUGUCUUUUCCCUAUAUCUCUGUCUUUUUCUCCACACAUACAUCUUUAAUCUGCUAAACAGCAUGUCUAGGAUUAAAGUGGAAAUUGGAUACUGCCUGCAGUCAGUAUGGGUUUCCAUGAUUGUGGUGGUAUGUUCCCUGUCAGCUUUGGGAGUUGUGUUUACUACCUUGUCUCUGGGCUAUGCCACCAUGAAGCAGCUUGUAUCACAGUGCCCAUAAGUAUUUUUUUUCAGUAAGUGUAUAAGGAAAACUGCCAAGCAUCAUGUUGUGCAGCUUGGAGAUAGCCUCUGUGUAAUGAAGCAGGAAUUUUCAUCCAAGUAACUACAUGUUGUCUGGAGCCUCACUCUUUGGUCUUCUUCCCAUAAUUUUCCUGCUCUGGUAGCCCUGUCUAUACUUCCUACAUGGCCACUGGCCAAUAUGCAUGCAUUCAUCACCAAUAAGGAAAACAUAUCUUAACAGUAUAUCAAAGGACAAUCCCUUUAUGAGAAUGACCGGGGUUGUUCUUGUCAGAUGUAUUUGUGGAUUACAUAAGCACAACAGAAACACUGGUAUGUGUAUAUUUUUAACUACACUAUAGCCUGUCUAUAGGUUUCAUUUGUCUAGAUCCAUCUAUAUAAAAUAUCAGGAUUUUUCAUUGACUGUAUGAGACAAAUCUGCAACUACUCUAUUGGUUGCAGUCAAAUAUAGCUCAGGUUAAUGCAUGUGUUGGAUCAUGGCAGUGGUGUAGAUAUCUCCCCUACCCUUGGUUGUCUGAGAUGUAGUUUCAUAGCACUGAUGUACUCAGUUCAAGAUCCUGGAAGUUGUUGAAUCCAUGCUGACAGCAAGCAGGUUACUGAAAACUUCUCAAAAACCUCAUUUAUGUGUUUGGUUGUAUGAAUUCUUAAAAGAGCGGAGCAAAUUGCGAGCAUGGGAAGAGGGGGAGGGAGCUAGGAGAAUGAGAAGGAGAGAGGAAGAGGGAUGCCUAGGACAUGAGGAAGCAGAAAGUAUGAGUCAGGGGAAAAAUACACGAUAACA